rnacentral:rRNA from 1 species
GUAGUCUGCAACUCGACUACAUGAAGCUGGAAUCGCUAGUAAUCGCGAAUCAGAAUGUCGCGGUGAAUACGUUCCCGGGUCUUGUACACACCGCCCGUCACACCAUGGGAGUCAGCAACGCCCGAAGCCGGUGACCCAACCGAAAGGACGGGAGCCGUCGAAGGUGGGGCCGAUAACGUGGGGUGAAGUCGUAACAAGGUAUC